rnacentral:rRNA from 1 species
UGGGGAAUAUUGGGGCAAUGGGCGAAAGCCUGACCCAGCAACGCCGCGUGAAGGAAGAAGGUCUUCGGAUUGUAAACUUCUUUUACCAGGGACGAAGACGUGACGGUACCUGGAGAAAAAGCCACGGCUAACUACGUGCCAGCAGCCGCGGUAAUACGUAGGUGGCAAGCGUUGUCCGGAUUUACUGGGUGUAAAGGGCGUGUAGGCGGGAGAGCAAGUCAGAUGUGAAAUCUAUGGGCUUAACCCGAUAGACUGCAUUUGAAACUGUUCUUCUUGAGUAUCGGAGAGGCAGGCGGAAUUCCUAGUGUAGCGGUGAAAUGCGUAGAUAUUAGGAGGAACACCAGUGGCGAAGGCGGCCUGCUGGACGACAACUGACGCUGAGGCGCGAAAGCG